CUAGUCAGCGGAGAGGACCGCAGCCUUUACAGGAUGGAUAAUUAAAUAUAAAAAUAUCCAUCCUGUCAAGGAUGUGGUCUCCUCCGCGGACUAG
rnacentral:pre_miRNA from 1 species